CUAAGAAUAUUCCGCAAUGGACGAAAGUCUGACGGAGCGACGCCGCGUGGAUGAUGAAGGCCGAAAGGUUGUAAAGUCCUUUUGCUGGGGAAGAAUAACCAUGGGAGGGAAUGCCCGUGGGAUGACAUGAACCGGCGAAUAAGCCCCGGCCAACUACGUGCCAGCAGCCGCGGUAACACGUAGGGGGCGAGCGUUGUUCGGAAUUACUGGGCGUAAAGGGCAUGUAGGCGGUCUUGUAAGCUUGGCGUGAAAUACCACGGCUCAACCGUGGGAAUGCGUUGAGAACUGCGAGGCUUGAGUGACGGAGAGGGAGCUAGAAUUCCUGGUGUAGGGGUGGAAUCUGUAGAGAUCAGGAAGAAUACCAAUGGCGAAGGCAAGCUCCUGGCCGAUGACUGACGCU
rnacentral:rRNA from 1 species